UACGUAGGGUGCAAGCGUUGUCCGGAAUUAUUGGGCGUAAAGAGCUCGUAGGCGGUUCGUCGCGUCGGCUGUGAAAACCCGGAGCUCAACUCCGGGCCUGCAGUCGAUACGGGCGGACUUGAGUGUUGCAGGGGAGACUGGAAUUCCUGGUGUAGCGGUGAAAUGCGCAGAUAUCAGGAGGAACACCGGUGGCGAAGGCGGCUCACUGGCCCGGUACUGACACUGAGGUGCGAAAGCGUGGGGAGCAAACAGG
rnacentral:rRNA from 1 species